rnacentral:rRNA from 1 species
GGCGAACGCUGGCGGCGUGCUUAACACAUGCAAGUCGAACGGAAAGGCCCUGCUUUUGUGGGGUGCUCGAGUGGCGAACGGGUGAGUAACAAGUGAGUAACCUGCCCUUGACUUUGGGAUAACUUCAGGAAACUGGGGCUAAUACCGGAUAGGAGCUCCUGCUGCAUGGUGGGGGUUGGAAAGUUUCGGCGGUUGGGGAUGGACUCGCGGCUUAUCAGCUUGUUGGUGGGGUAGUGGCUUACCAAGGCUUUGACGGGUAGCCGGCCUGAGAGGGUGACCGGCCACAUUGGGACUGAGAUACGGCCCAGACUCCUACGGGAGGCAGCAGUGGGGAAUAUUGCACAAUGGGCGGAAGCCUGAUGCAGCAACGCCGCGUGCGGGAUGACGGCCUUCGGGUUGUAAACCGCUUUCGCCUGUGACGAAGCGUGAGUGACGGUAAUGGGUAAAGAAGCACCGGCUAACUACGUG